rnacentral:lncRNA from 1 species
GGGAGAAUGUUGCUGCGUGGAUCUGCUUCUAUGAUAGAAAGGAUAUGUUCAAGGCAUUCCUUGAUAGGAUUCUUCGGCUGAAAGAGGUUUGUUUUUUGUCUUGGGCUCAACGAAUUUUCAGUGAUUUAGUUAUCCUAAGUAAUUUGGUAAUGCUUGUUCUAUUGAAAAAGCUUGUUUUCUAACCUGAAUCUGCAUUGUAAC